CCGGCCCGGCCCCUGCCCCAGGGGGCCCCGCUCGGAGGGAAGGCUGACGAAUCACAUCCCCGUUUUGGUCCAGAUGGGCCCGUCUUCCAGGACACAGGGAAGGGAAAUGUCUGUGAUGGAGCCAGCUCAGAUGCCGGUGACCUUCGAGGAGGUAGCUGUGUAUUU